rnacentral:lncRNA from 1 species
CUUGGGUGACGUGGUCCUCACGUGAGCCGGAGCCGACGUUUGCAGACGCCCUUCUAAUCCUGAUCCUGGUUUGGUCCGGUUACUAGCUCCUUUUUGCCCCGAGGGCAGGCGGGCGGUGGCCAGGGAAGGAGGAGGAGGAGGUUACUGCCCGGAUCCCAGCAGGAUCCUGAAUUUGGAAAAGCUGGUGUUGGGACUCUCUGAAGUGCUCUUCUGUCCGCCUAGCCGACUCUGUCCUGUCGCUUGUGCGUCUGUGGAUCUUGCACUUCAGGGCCAGUUCAACCCUAGAAGCAGGAAGAAGGGGAAAAUUGCUCAGAAAAACUUUGCAGGACGCAGUGGAUUUCCAGGCAAGGGAGAGAAGGAAGAAACUGCCUGGACCUGCACCGGUGUAUGUCAGGAUGCUGCUACCCCAGGACAUCUGAAGGGGUAGGGGAGGUACGGAACUGAUCAGAGACCUUAAAUUUAACGUGCGGGAGUGG